UGGAAAUGCUCUGGAUUUGUUCCUACAAAGACGCGCUGAAAGCAUUAAGAGAUCCAGGACCACCGGGACUUCGUCAGAGUUCGACAAAAACAGCAGAGGUAAAAAUACUAUCCGCGCUUUGUCAUUGUGUAGAGUUGUUGAUUUGUGAUCGAUGUCUUACACUGUCAUGGUCAUUCUGCGCUUUUUAUUAUUGCAGCCACGAGUCAGGUCCCUCUAUCAACUAUUGAUCAGAGUGCAUCAUAUCAAUAUAAGUUGGACAUACAUAUUGAGCAAUUAAGGACUAGCAUGUCUGCCAUAGGCUUUUUACAGAUUACGUUUCUUUCUAGAGUCACUUCACUGUGUCCAAUGUUGUCUUUUAAAUGUUAUUCAAGUACGUGAUUGCUGAUCUUUCAUUUGUCUUGCAGCAAUCAGGCGUGCCCGGUUGUCCAAUUUUGAUCAAAAUCCAAGCCCUGGCUCUGUGUUGGAUUCUACCG
rnacentral:lncRNA from 1 species